GAUGAACGCUGGCGGCGUGCCUAAUACAUGCAAGUCGAGCGAACAGAUGAGGAGCUUGCUCCUCUGACGUUAGCGGCGGACGGGUGAGUAACACGUGGAUAACCUACCUAUAAGACUGGGAUAACUUCGGGAAACCGGAGCUAAUACCGGAUAAUAUAUUGAACCGCAUGGUUCAAUAGUGAAAGACGGUUUUGCUGUCACUUAUAGAUGGAUCCGCGCCGCAUUAGCUAGUUGGUAAGGUAACGGCUUACCAAGGCGACGAUGCGUAGCCGACCUGAGAGGGUGAUCGGCCACACUGGAACUUGGACACGGUCCAGGCUCCUACGAGAGGCAGCAGUAGGGAAUCGUCCGCAAUGGGCGAGAGCCUUACGGAGCAACGCCGCGUGAGUGAUGAAGGUCUUCGGAUCGUAAAACUCUGUUAUUAGGGAAGAACAAAUGUGUAAGUAACUAUGCACGUCUUGACGGUACCUAAUCAGAAAGCCACGGCUAACUACGUG
rnacentral:rRNA from 1 species